rnacentral:rRNA from 1 species
UUCGGAUUGUAGUCUGNAACCCGACUACAUGAAGCUGGAAUCGCUAGUAAUCGCAGGUCAGCAUACUGCGGUGAAUACGUUCCCGGGUCUUGUACACACCGCCCGUCACACCAUGGGAGCCGGAAAUGCCCGAAGCCAGUGACCCAACCUUAGGGAGGGAGCUGUCGAAGGUGGAGCCGGUAACUGGGGUGAAGUCGUAACAAGGUAUC